AACGUAGGAGGCGAGCGUUAUCCGGAUUUACUGGGCGUAAAGCGCAUGCAGGUGGUCUUGCAAGUGGGAUGUGAAAGCCCCUGGCUUAACUGGGGGAGGUCGUUCCAGACUGCGAGGCUGGAGGUCGGGAGAGGAAAGCGGAAUUCCCGGUGUAGUGGUGGAAUGCGUAGAUAUCGGGAGGAACACCAGUGGCGAAAGCGGCUUUCUGGCCCGCACCUGACACUAAGAUGCGAAAGCGUGGGGAGCGAACGGG
rnacentral:rRNA from 1 species